rnacentral:tRNA from 1 species
AUUACUUUAGCAGAAUUAGUGUAUUAAAUUUAGAAUUUAAUGGGAAUAUAUGAUAAAUUAUAUAAGUAAUA